UAUCCGCCUCGGCAAUCAGAGAAUGAAUAAAGAAAGAUUUGACUACGUGAAGUAGGCGUGAUGGUAUAAACGGUCUGUAUUCUCGGUUGUAAAUUAAUAGCUACACAAUUGAGUCGUCGCUUGUAUUGAUUCUGAAGAACAUACCAAGUUGUUGAUGUCACGAGAAGUUAUAAGAGCUUUUGUACCUUAUGAGUUAUUUACAAUAUUAAGUAUGUAUGGAAACUGAAAGAACUGUUUAAAAAGUUUAAAACUUCUUGUUUUAAUAUCAUUUGCGUUUAGUGUUUUGUGUACUGGGGGUUCAUGAUUUCAUGAGCGUUACCGAAUUGAUAUUCACUUACAGUUCUUGCCGAACAUCGGGGUUAUAAUCCCAAAAUAAGGAGUUGAAUUUUAGACGGAACGAAAAGAAACAUCGCAAGAGGAGUUAGUAUCAUCGGUUAAUUAAUAAACGAAAGAAGAAUAUAAAGAGGAGCGGCGAAAUUAUAUAGCUUGAAACGGUUAGCGCUCAGACCUAAAGAAAUAAUUAGUCUUUUAGUCAUAACCUCGAGAAAAACAGACUAAAAAACAAACAAAAUGCCUGCAACAUAUUUUGUGGGUGUAUUUUUAUUUUGUUUUACCUAUCAAUGGUUUCUAGUGAACUCCCGACCUUACUCAGACUUAACAAUUAAAGACAAUUAUGGCAGUAAUUUGGAGGAAAUUUUUCCAAAGGAAGAUUACCAAAAUUGGUUAAGAACAAAGUUGAUGGUGACAAUUUUAAAAGGUCUUCGAAAUUCAGAUUCGUAUUUGGAUGACGUGGAACAGACAGUGAAAGUGAAAAAGAGGCAACGACAGUGUUAUUGGUCAGUGGUCACGUGUUACUAAUAAGGUGUCACGUGGUUGAUCGUGUAACCAAAAUGGCCAACUUCGAUUUUUUGUGGAUUCAAAUGCUGCAAUUACAAAACAUAUCUAUGAACAGUACACUAUCUAUGAACAGUACAAUAUCAAUCAGACUUUUACUAAUUUUAAAAUCACUUUUUAUCCACUUAAUUUUAUUACCAGCACAACUAUAUAUCAUGCAGGGGUCUGGCGCCGUGAGGCGGGGGCAGUGGAUCACUAUCCCUCGGCUCGAAAAUGUUUUUUAAUUAGACUGUAAAUGAAUCUUUCUAGGGUAUAUCCUGAGUAUCAAACCUUAGCGUGUGGCAAUCUUACCAAUUCAUCAACAAAAACGUAAAAUUAUAGCUCACCAGAAAAACUUCAUAAAUCUUUUAAAUAAUGCAAGGAUAAGUUGACAUAAUUACUUGCAUUAUUUAAACGAUUUAUAAAACUUUUCCGAUGAGCUUUAAGACCAAAAAGCCCCCAAAUUACGCGAGGCCAUUAAUUUCUUUAGAGGCCCCGGAGCAUGCCAUACUCGCAGGCUCUUUCCCAGUCCAUCCCUGAUAUUAUGUAUUUUGAAGAAACAGUCGCUAUUGAUUACUUCAUUUACUUCAGAGAGCAAUGACGAACCGUAUCGUAACUGAAUUCAAUAAAUAAAACACACUGUGGUCGCUAUAAAUUGAGUAGUUAUUAAAAUUAUUGACUUCGCUCAAAACUUUAUUUUCCAGUUCUGGUAUUUAAAACCACGUUCGGAUGACAUGUUGAUUAUUAUGUCAUAAUGCCCUUUUAUUUAUUUUUUUUUUUUGGUCUUUUUUUAAAAAAAAAAUGGUCACAUAAAGAAAUAUUUCCCAAAUCAAAACAUUAGCCCCGACUUGAUACACAGGUUAGGGAUAGAGAUAAAGAGAAUCGCCACAAUACAGUUGUUUUAAAGGACAACGCCACAAUGCGGUUGUUUUAAAGGACCCUCGCCACAAUACAGUUGUUGUAAAGGACAACGCCACAAUUCAGUUGUUUUAAAGGACAUCGCCACAAUGCUGUUUUUUUUAAGGACAAACGCCACAAUACAGUUGUUUUAAACGAUCAUCUCUACAAUAUGGUUGUUUUAAAGGACAGCGCUAUAAUAUGGUUGUUUUAAAUGACUAACGCUCAAGAUCAUUUGCCCGUUUUAAAGUUAAGCAAUUUAUGUCCUCAAUAUAUCGAUCGCUGGGUCUUGAAGUCAAGCAAAUUAUGUCCUUAUAAUACCGAUCACUGAGUCUUGAAGUAAAGCUUGUUGGUCUAAUAAACCCCUCUCUAUAUAAGUAUACCUCAAAUUCAUGAGAUUUAUAACAUCUCUCUUUAUCUGUAUUAUUCACGUAUUCCGAAUAAGGAGGCAGACCACCGAUUAAAUUUAACCUUCUCGGUACCCACAAAUUGUAGUUCGUCUAUUAGAUUCUCUGUCUGUAGUGAAAAGCAUUCAGCCCAGCGAAAAUUUGAGCAAAGAUGGAGCCGGGCAAAGAGACAAAAUUAACAUUGAAGUGAAUGUGGAAACUGAUGGUGGUCUGUCGCCUAUAUAUUAAUAGAGGUCGGUGAGUUAUCGGUCCUUGAUGUUUAAAAAUCUGAUUCGGACCGCAAUACCGCAGUGGUUUUCAUAGCUCUGGUGUAUAUGCCCGCGUCUUUUUUUCGAAAAGAUACAUUUUUGACAAACAAUGGAACUUAAUUUCUUCUUUCAGGGACGUAAUUUAAUACAAUUUGGUUAGAUCGAGCUUAGAGAAAUUCAUAGUCUCGUGUGAUUACCUUAAAAUUCCGUGAUGGUCAUGUUUUCUUGACAACAAGUUACAUUUGACAAAUCCGAUAUUUACCUGGAAUAUUGUAAUGUCUAGGGUUCACGGUGUUGUAUACCUGGUACCUAUCAGGACAUGUUAAAUGUCGCGACCCCCUACAGACCAGGCAUACAGACCAGGCAUAUAGAUCGAGAAUACCAGAAAAUUUUGUAGAUAUUUAAAUGGCAACUGUUAAUAAUGUUUUCUCAGCUUUUUCUGUAAUGAUAAUAAAUAGCUAGUAUCUUU